AUGUCCAUGUCGAGCCCGGUGCACGCCCGGAAGGCCCUCCACCUAGUCGCCAUGAAGGCCAAGCUGCAGAGCUUCCUCGGCCUCCGCCUCCUCCUCGUGGCCGCCCUCGCCGCCUUCCUCCUCCUCUUCUCCGCGCGCACGCUCUUCUCCUCCUCCUCCUCCCCCGGCCAGAGGUCCGCCGCCUCUCAGCUGCACCUUAGCGGCGCGGGCGACGACGGGUCGUGCUCCAAGCUGCCGGCGCCGGUGGCCGACGCGCUGGUGCACUACGCGACGUCGAACACGACGCCGCAGCAGACGGCGGCGGAGAUCGGGGUGUCGCUGCGCGUCCUGCAGCGCCGCUCGCCCUGCAACUUCCUGGUCUUCGGGCUGGGCCUCGACAGCCCCAUGUGGGCGGCGCUCAACCACGGCGGCCGCACCGUGUUCCUCGAGGAGGACGCGUCCUGGAUCGCCUCCGUCCGCUCCAAGCACCCGGGCCUCGAGUCCUACCACGUCGUCUACGACACCCGCCUCACCGAGGCCGACGAGCUCAUCGCCCUCCGGGACCACCCGGGCUGCACAGCGCAGCCGGACCUCGCCGCCGCCGCCGAGGCCUCCUGCCGGCUCGCGCUCCGCGGCCUCCCCGCCGCGUUCCACGAGGUCGAGUGGGACCUCGUCAUGGUGGACGCGCCCACGGGGUGGGUGCCGGAGGCGCCCGGGAGGAUGGGCGCCAUCUACACCGCCGGCAUGGUGGCGCGCGCGCGGCGGCCCGGGGACGGCGCCACCGACGUGUUCGUGCACGACGUCGACCGGACCGUGGAGGACAGGUUCUCCAAGGCGUUCCUGUGCGACGCGUACCUCGCCGAGCAGGUCGGCCGGAUCAGGCACUUCGUCAUCCCCAGCCACAGGGAGAAGCCCGGCACGCCCUUCUGCCCUCAGAAUUAA
rnacentral:rRNA from 1 species